UCUAGAUGAACCACGUGGAGUGGGGAAGUCUCCCUGUAAGUGGAGGAUGGAGAGGAGGAAAAAGCUGAGUAGGAUGUGAGGACCAGACCUGUCAUUGCUGGAUGACUGGAGCUUUGAAGCCAUCCUGCACAUCUGACAUGGCAGAAACCUUCCCAGCAGACCUAUAAAUGGUAGUGUCCUAAGUUAUCGGGCUCAACUCUUCAAAGAAAAUCAGUGACCUAUAAAGGAACACCGACAAGUCAUCAGACUGGUAUGAUCGGCUCUGUGUAGAAGGACAAAGGUGUUGAGGAGUGCGUAUUUCCCAGAGCCUAUUUGUUCAGACUUCCAAAUCUAAAAUCUGACUGUAAGAAAAGAAAUGUUUUCUAUGUCCUGCCUGAGAAACGUUGCGUACUUUGAAUCAUGAUUUAUCAAAAUCCUGAAUAUGUGCUCAACUUGAAGAACAGAAAUGAUCUAGCUGAAGUCAAUGGAAAGAUAAGUGCUUAUUUAACUUCUCUGCUGGACUGAGAUCAGCAAUCCCAGGACCUUUCUCAGAUGAAAGUAGAGAGAUCUGCAGUACUGAUGAAAAUUCACUAAACAAUUUGCUAGGAAUUGUGAACACUAGGUUAAAUAGGAACCACAAUAAAAGGCAUUUAGCUUUGAAAUUGUCCUUGGUUUCCACAGUUCAAGGUCUAAGCGAAGGAGACGAUAAAAAAUUUCACAGAUAUAACAAAAUUAUACAACUAAUAUGAAAUCGAGCCAAA
rnacentral:lncRNA from 1 species